UGGCUCCAUGCGCCUCUCCCAGGUCUCCUUCUGGCUCCAUCCAGCUUCCUUCCUUCCCAGUCUCCUCUGCAGCUGCUUUCUCUGCUCAGCUCCACCCUCCCUUGGGGGGGCAGGAAACCUGCAACCUCCCCCUUUCCUGGGGACCACCCAGUCCACAUAGACCCCCCCACCCCUUCAGCGCUGCUUUCCGGGGCCCUGGAGCUGACUCCGGCAUGUGCAGAUCCCCUGAAGAUCCACCCCCCCAUCGCUGUGCAUGCAGUCACCCUGAAGGGGGGCACCCUGGGCUUCCACCCUGAGAACAUCAUGACCAGGCAGCCUAAUGCCAACCUCAGAGAGGAAAUGUUUGGAGGCUUUGCAAGUAGCUGAGUCACUGAAACUGUUCCCGCUUUUGCUGCUGUCACAGCCUGGCAGAGAAGGCGAAGACCUGGACCCGGGCGCCUCUCUAAGCUUUGAGUGUGGCCAGUUGUCAGGUCUUUCGGCCGCUGCAGCAGCUGUUUUGCGUGUCACUUGUCUGGUGCUGUGCUGGGGCAUCUCGGCAGCUCCGUUGAGCAUCUCCUGUUGUGUCUUCUGCUGUCUUCGUGAGUUGGAUCCCGGCCUACGGUCUGGCAGCCACGUGCUCCAGGUCCCCAGUGGCAGGAAGACGCUACUUGGGAACAUUUGUGUUUAGGACUUUACAACACUGGACACUGCUUAAGGCUCUAACAGCAGCAAAGAUGGGAACAGGUGAAGAAGCUGUGAUUGCUUCUCAACCUUGGACUUGUGCCAGAGACUUGGGGGGACAUGGAAGGAGACACUGGAAACAGACAUGGGCAAUACCAUCUUCACAUGAAGGAAUGAAUGACAAAAUCUGUGGCUAUUUGAUUUGGUUAAUGAGCAGACAUUGUCCUGAAAAUGAGUGUGUGCUCCUUUAAGAAAAUCAACUGACAAUUGAUAACUGACAGUCACUUCGCCUUGACAAAAUAGCCGCCCUCUCUGCACCGUCUCUACUCAGCGGUGUCUGAGCAGCUCCAGGAGUCCCUGCACCACCUGCCUCUGCCCUUGUGGGAAACCAGCCCCUCAGCCUGCAUGACAGUGAGGAGGCGAAGGCAAAGUCCUGAGGUGCAAGACCAAUGUGCUAUCCACAGAAAAGAGAGGUUCUGCCAGGGACCAGCCUCCGGCAAAAUGUUGUGUCAGGGGUUCCUGAAAGGAUGAGACGGCCUAGGAGACACGUUAGGGGCUGAAGGGAAGGGGAUUGAGGAGACACUGAUACUGGAUGGGGUGCAGAUCUCUUCUGCCAAGAGACUCAGCAGGUCUUUAUUCAUUUUUAGUAAUCAGAAAAAUUACCUAAUCAUGUGCAAAGCAGAAACAAUUAGGGUAUUCUAUUCCCAUGGACUACAGGCUCCUAUGGGUCCCAGCUAGAUGGUAGCCUUCAAGGUUAAUAGAUAAAAAACUAAACCUUACACUAAAACUUAUUAUUUCAGCUAGACAAUUACCUAAGACAGUUGAUAGCCACCAGUACAUCCCUAUCAGCUAAAGCUUAAGCAUCCAAAGAUUCUUCUAUUCAUAUGGCCUUCAGCCAGAGACCAGCUGCUUCUCAGCUAUCAGAACUUUUUCUACCUAGAAACUUCUUCACACAGUUAACUUCAUUGAAAAACUUUCCUAAGAAACUUCUAAAAAAGCAAAAGGAGGACUUACUAUAAUAGUUGUGUUGGAUUGCUUGUCAGGAAUGUAAAUUGUCUCCCAUUGUCAAGUGGGCCAAAUUGUUUAAUAACUAAUUUCUAAACAGAUAAUUUUCCAUGCCAUUUAUUUGCAGUAUACUGAUGCAUAUAAUGUAGUGCCUAAUGAACUUUCUGAUAAUUUUUUCUCUUUUUAUGACCAAGAACAAAAAUAAAGGUAUAUUAGAUCUUCAGCCCCACGGUGUGAGGCACAAGGAUUCUUCGGCCCCACGGUGUGAGGCCCUUUCGCUUCUCUGCUUGCCAGUGUCUUAUCUGGUUGGGGCAACAAGGCUUCCUGCAGCAAGGUUCCAGGUUACCGCCUGGCCCAAGGAAAGGUGGGGCUGAGCAGGGAUGAGAAGCUAAGGAAGAGGAGGAAGAUGUGGAGUAAGAUGAGGAAAGAAGACUGGAGGAGGCACAUGGAGCAGAGAGACAUGUGAAGAAGAAACCACACUUGCUUCUCACUUGGACUUGUGCCAGGGAGUUGGGGCCAUGGAAAGAGACACAUGAAAGAGACAAAGACGUGGAUGAGGGACCCAUGGGGAGACUGACAAUGGCAGCUGUUAUCUUGAUGUGGAUUUUGAUUUUGCUCUUUUCCUUCCAGACUUGCCUGGCCCCUCCUGCCCCUGUCCCAUGGAUCUCUACCAGUAGGUGCCUUAGCUUUGUGGCAGGCCUUCAAGCCCCAGUGGGCCUGCUUUGGGCCAAGUUUGUUUGGCUGGGCCUUACCCAUGAGGGGACGGGUAACUUUGGGUGCUUCACUUGGGAACUAUUCUAAUUAUAUUCUUUCUCUUCUCUCUCUCUAUUGCACACUGAUUCUCUAUUUUAUACUAAUUGUAUUAGAGUUAUUUUCUAUUGAAGCUCUUACGCUUUAGAGUAUGUUUUGUCUUUAUGCAGCUGAUGGCAGAUAGUGUAUAGUUUUGAGGGCACAGGGAACCCCUCAUUCUGCCCACUAACAGGACCAGACACCAUUCCCACCCACCAUGUGCCAGAGUUCCUUUUCCUACACACCCUUCAAUGGGUCAUUCUCACAGUGUGAGGUGGGAACUCAUUAUGGUUUCAACUGGCAUUUUCCUGACAGCACAUGACAAACAUUUAUCCAUGUACCUACUGGCCACGUGUGUGUCUUCUUAGAAAAAGGACCUAUUUAGCUCCUCUGCCCCUGUUUUGAGUUGUUUCCUUGCUUUGGAGUUCUUUGUAGAUUUUGGAUAUUAACUCCUUGUUGGAUUGAUGAUGUGCAAAUAGUUUCUCCGAUUUGAUAUUGUCCUUUCAUUUUAACAAUAAUUUCCUUCACUAAUUAGAAGCUUUUUUAGUCUGAUGUGAUUCCAUUGGUUUCUUUUUGCUUUUGCUUCCUUGGAGCACAGACGACACUAUGGGCAGUGAAAAUACUCCGCAUGAUAUUCUCAUGGUGGACACGGGUCAUUUUCAUUGUACAUUUGUCCAACACCCCGAGAAUGGACACCACCAGAGUAACCCCAAAGGGAAAACAUGACUUUACAACUAUGACAUGUGAACCCAUCACUUGUAAUCAACGUGUCAGUCUGGUCUUAAAAUGUGAUUUAGACAUGAUGUGUGAAGUUUUAUAAAUUGAGGAAUGAAGUGUAAUUUACAUUAGAAAGCAUAUUUCAUGCUCAUACAAGGACAUUUAAAUAACACUCAAGGAUACACAUAAGUCAUUCCCCUCCACUCCCAAGACCCCAGUCAGCCAGUGUCUGCUCAAAACCAGUUAGCA